AAUGCAUCGCCGGGAAUCGAACCCGGCCGCCCCGCGUGCAGGGCGAGCAUUCUACCACUGAACCACCGAUGGU
rnacentral:tRNA from 1 species